rnacentral:rRNA from 1 species
UGAGGAAUCUUCCACAAUGGGCGAAAGCCUGAUGGAGCAACGCCGCGUGAAGGAUGAAGGCCUUCGGGUUGUAAACUUCUUUUAUGAGUGAAGAAUAUGACGGUAACUCAUGAAUAAGCACCGGCUAACUACGUGCCAGCAGCCGCGGUCAUACGUAGGGUGCAAGCAUUAUCCGGAGUGACUGGGCGUAAAGAGUUGCGUAGGCGGUUUAAUAAGUGAAUAGUGAAACCUGGUGGCUCAACCAUACAGACUAUUAUUCAAACUGUUAAACUCGAGAAUGGUAGAGGUAACUGGAAUUUCUAGUGUAGGAGUGAAAUCCGUAGAUAUUAGAAGGAACACCGAUGGCGUAGGCAGGUUACUGGGCCAUUUCUGACGCUAAGGCACGAAAGCGUGGGGAGCGAACCGGAUUAGAUACCCGGGUAGUCCACGCCGUAAACGAUGGAUACUAGCUGUUGGAGGUAUCGACCCCUUCAGUAGCGAAGCUAACGCGUUAAGUAUCCCGCCUGUGGAGUACGGCCGCAAGGCUA